CGGCGUGCUUAACACAUGCAAGUCGAACGGGAUCUGCGUGGCCUUUGUGGUUGUGUGGUGAGAGUGGCGAACGGGUGAGUAACACGUGAGUAACCUGCCUUUUUCUUUGGGAUAACGCUCAGAAAUGGGUGCUAAUACUGGAUGUUCUGCGCUUUCCGCAUGGGGGGUGUGGGAAAGGGGCUUUUUAAGUUUCUGGAGGGAGAUGGGCUCGCGGCUUAUCAGCUUGUUGGUGGGGUGAUGGCUUACCAAGGCUUUGACGGGUAGCCGGCCUGAGAGGGUGGGCGGUCACAUUGGGACUGAGAUACGGCCCAGACUCCUACGGGAGGCAGCAGUGGGGAAUUUUGCACAAUGGGGGGAACCUUGAUGCAGCGACGCCGCGUGAGGGAUGGAGGCCUUCGGGUUGUGAACCUCUUUCGCUCGUGUGCAAGCCGCUAUUUGGGUAGUGGUGAGUGUAGCGGGUAAAGAAGCGCCGGCUAACUACGUGCCAGCAGC
rnacentral:rRNA from 1 species